UCUAUGCUCUGCUCCAAUAACUGCCUCAGGUUUCACUUUGAACUGUAGUGGGGUUCUCAAGAAAAGACAAUGCAGAACAAAUCCAAACAAAUUAGAAAGGAUGGAUCCAUAUAGAGGAAGGAAGAGGUAACAAAAGGGAAGCGAAAUAAAUUCUUCAAGAUGCUUUGCACAAUGACAUCUGGAUACUUGAGAACUUAAAGACACCUGCCAAUGACAAGAUUAAACACAAGGCUGCUCACUGCUAAGGCUGCUCUUUAGUGCUGAGUCUCCUGAGGGCUGAAAGGAAAAAAAAAAAUAUCUGUAAUCGCCUUUCUGCCUAGCAGUUGGAAAGCUCUGCAAAUGAAGGAAAAAGGUUCUUGAACGUUUGGUAACAUAUAUCUAUAUAUCCAGCGAGCAAGCAAGAGAAGCUGUUCUGUGGACUCAGGAUGCAAAGUGGGGGCUUGCAGAGUCUCUGGGUCCAUGAAUUUUAGAAGUUCAUUUGAUCUGCUAGAGAAUCACAAGAUGCAUCUUAAAAUUAGCUUACAAGUCAGUACAAUACUGAUGCUCGUGAAUCAAAAUGAUGAAGAGAUUUCAGUUUUGAGAAGGAAUGUUUGUCAAAUGGAAGAAAUUUCUGGAGUCAAUGCACCAACCAUACUGAGGCAAAACUAUAUUCGGUGCUGGGGUUCUGAAUGGUACCUUCUUCCUGGAAAAGGCUUAGUCAUCCUCAAAGAAAUACAUUUACAAUGACCUCCUUGUGAAACUUCUCUGAUGCACUCAUGAAGAAUUAAUGAUUCUUGUUUCUGAUCCCAUCAAGCAUUCUUAUUAGACUUUUGACUCAAGAACUAUACACACUUGGGAGCAGCUAAAGAAGGAAAGAGAGUCAACAGUAAUUGGAAAGCAUGCUCUGUGUCUGCUCGUUUCUCAGACCCACUGCACAAUCUCCUCCCUUGUCUAGCUGUCCUGACUCGGCUUAUAAUUACAAAGUCUUUUAUACCAAGGUCAAUAGCAAGGCCAUAUUUUGGAAAAGAAGAUUUUCUAC